UACGUAGGGUGCGAGCGUUAAUCGGAAUUACUGGGCGUAAAGCGUGCGCAGGCGGUUCGUUGUGUCGGUGGUGAAAUCCCCGGGCUUAACCUGGGAAUGGCCAUGGAAACUGGCGAACUGGAGUGCGGCAGAGGGGGGUGGAAUUCCGCGUGUAGCAGUGAAAUGCGUAGAGAUGCGGAGGAACACCGAUGGCGAAGGCGGCACACUGGGCCGGUACUGACGCUGAGGAGCGAAAGCGUGGGGAGCAAACAGG
rnacentral:rRNA from 1 species